AUGUGGCCGCUUUUGUCUUAUAACAGUUUGGAGGUGGCGGUGGCUGAUAUAGCUGUAAUUGCAGGUGUGUUGACGAACCGCCCCAAAGAGGAAGUGUCCGGAUCAUCAAAUGAUCUUCUGCAGGAGCUGUCACAGUUGCAUGAGCAAGCUCGACAGGCUAUGCGGAGUGUAGCCAAGGCUUUAUGGCCAUCCGACUCCCCUCCAGGAAGCAUGGAAAAGCUGGUAGAGCUAUUCAAGGGAGUGCGGCAGCGUAUCCGGCUAUGGAAGAUAGCUGCCUGCCGAGAGGGUGCGCGAGAGGCCUGGGCCAUGGUGAAGACGCGCUAUACCAAGCUGGAUCCUAAUCACAUGGCUCACGUCGGGCCGGUAGGGCCGAAUGGGGAAGAAAUUCCUAUUAGUAUAGUAUAUGGCCAAGUAGAGGUGGCCGCCAAAUAUUGCCAACAGGAUUGUAAGUUAGACUGCCUGUUGGAAGGUGUAGAGGAAGAGGUGUUCGAGUUCAAAUGA
rnacentral:rRNA from 1 species